rnacentral:rRNA from 1 species
UACGUAGGGACCGAGCGUUGUCCGGAAUCACUGGGCGUAAAGCGCACGUAGGCGGCUUUUUAAGUCAGGGGUGAAAUCCUGGAGCUCAACUCCAGAACUGCCUUUGAUACUGGGAAGCUUGAGUCCGGGAGAGGUGAGUGGAACUCCGAGUGUAGAGGUGAAAUUCGUAGAUGUUCGGAAGAACACCAGUGGCGAAGGCGGCUCACUGGCCCGGUACUGACGCUGAGGUGCGAAAGCGUGGGGAGCAAACAGG